GCCUGCAUGAAGUCGGAAUUGCUAGUAAUCGCAGAUCAGCAUGCUGCGGUGAAUACGUUCCCGGGCCUUGUACACACCGCCCGUCACACCAUGGGAGUCGGUAACACCCGAAGUCGGUAGCCUAACCGUAAGGAGGGCGCCGCCGAAGGUGGGAUUGAUGACUGGGGUGAAGUCGUAACAAGGUAUC
rnacentral:rRNA from 1 species